CGGAUUGCAGUCUGCAACUCGAGUGCAUGAAGCUGGAAUCGCUAGUAAUCGCGGAUCAGAAUGCCGCGGUGAAUACGUUCCCGGGUCUUGUACACACCGCCCGUCACACCAUGGGAGUCGGGAAUGCCCGAAGCCGGUGGCCCGAUCGAAAGAAGGGAGCCGUCGAAGGCAGGCCGGAUGACUGGGGUGAAGUCGUAACAAGGUAUC
rnacentral:rRNA from 1 species